AUGGAGGAAGCCGAAAAUCCAAUCUAACAGAGUAGGCA
rnacentral:ncRNA from 1 species